UGUAAAGUUCAAGCUCCGAUUAUGAGGGCGAAACCGCGAAUGGCUCAUUAAAUCAGUCAUAAUCUACUUGAUUGUUUCAAGUUUAUAUGGAUAACUGUGGUAAUUCUAGAGCUAAUACAUGCACAAAAGGGACGACUCUCCAGCAAUGGGGAGAAGUUCUGCGUUUAUUAGACUAAGACCAAUGAGUUACUUCGGUAACUCUCAAUCUAAGGUGACUCUGAGUAAAUAAUGGGUGAAAGCCCAUGUUGCUGACCUGACAUACCAAAAGGCCUAAACAGCCUGUCAGGCAAAUCAAUCGAGUGUCUGCUCUAUCAACUGUGGAUGGUAGGGUAAUUGCCUACCAUGGUGAUGACGGGUAACGGGGAGUUAGGGCUCGACUCCGGAGAACAAGCCUGAGAAACGGCUAGUAGGACUAAGGUCUGCAGCAGGCGCGAAACUUACACAAUGCUAGAUUACCGAUUUUAGCGAUGUAGUGAAGAAAAAUAACGAUGUACUUCCAUUUAAACAUGGUAGUACAAUUGGAAUGAGACGACUCUAAACCAGUCAGUCGAGUAACAAAUGGAGGGCAAGUCUGGUGCCAGCAGCCGCGGUAAUUCCAGCUCCAUUAGCAUACAUUAAAGUUGUUGCGGUUAAAAAGCUCGUAGUUGAAUUUCUAGCGGGUUCUAUUGGGGUGCAACCGAUAAAGGUCUCAGUGUACGCUCCGAUCGGUCUUCGGACCUUUCGUCCCUCCUGUAGGCUGGUUGUCGCUUUCCACUUGGAGCCCGCUGUUUCGUCACUUAAUCAAGUGCGAAGCAGGCUGGAACAAUCGAUACACCUUCGGUGCUAUCAUGUUACAGCAAGUUUAACCUUGAGAAAAUUAGAGUGCUUCACAGCAGGCAGUUGGGGUGUAAAAACCCCUUUAUGCUUGAAUAAUGUUGCAUGGAAUAAUAGAAUACGGCCUCGGUUCUAUUCUGUUGGUCUUAUAGAACAACAAAAAAGUUGAUUAAAGCGAUCAAAAGUCCUUUUUGAGUGUGGCUUUGUAUUGUAUGGGUCAACCAAAUCAAACAGGUACUGUUGUCUAGGGCUUUAAAUCUUAGUACCUUGCCUGUCUUGAAUCUUGGUCCCCAUGCUUGCAUUGUCAUUUAAAGCACUCUUAAUGUGGCUAGCUUUCUAAUCAACUGAGGCAAUGGUUAAAAGAAAUAGUCGCGGCGGCAUCAGUACUGCAUCGUGAGAGGUGAAAUUCUUAGACCGAUGCAAGACUAACUGAAGCGAAAGCGUUUGCCGAGGAUAUUUUCAUUAAUCAAGAACGAAAGUUAGAGGUUCGAAGGCGAUCAGAUACCGCCCUAGUUCUAACCAUAAACGUUGCCAACUAGCAAUUGGGUUGCGAUUCCUUUAAUCGAAGCCUAAAAAACUUCGAUCAUUAUGAUCCACCCAGCGGCUCUCGUAGGGAAACCAAAGUGUUUGGGUUCCGGGGGAAGUAUGAUUGCAAAGUUGAAACUUAAAGGAAUUGACGGAAGGGCACCACCAGGAGUGGAGCCUGCGGCUUAAUUUGACUCAACACGGGGAAACUUACUAGAUUAGAACUCUGGAAUGAUUGACAGAUUGAUAGCUCUUUCUUGAUUCAGAGGAUGGUGGUGCAUGGCCGUUCUUGAUUCGUAUUCCGAAACGUCUGCUUAAUUGCGAUAACGAGUGAGACCUCACCCAACUAACUAGUCGUUUGGUGCGCUGUGGAACGUAAAAGUCUGCGUAAGUUCAGGUCUUGGUUAGCGGGGCAACUCGUUGGUUAAGGCUCCUUGCGUUAGAUGUUCUCUGCUCGCCUGCGGACUUCUUAGAGGGAUAAACGGUGUUUUAGCCGUAAGAAACGAGGCAAUAACAGGUCUGUGAUGC
rnacentral:rRNA from 1 species